CUGGAUUCCUUCCACCUCACAGUAGUCACUGCUGCCAUUUAGAUUGAAGCAAUGAGAAACAGGGCCAUCGAUUGGCCGCGCUCCAAAACCCCAAGCAGGAUAACGUCGGUCUCUAUCAUAGAACUGCAAUACCUCUCCAGCAUCCAAGAUGGCUCUCUGAUAAUCAUUAUAUCGAUCCUUCAGGACGGCCAAAUGAUUAUCAGAGAGCCAUC
rnacentral:misc_RNA from 1 species